AUACGGAGGAUCCGAGCGUUAUCCGGAUUUAUUGGGUUUAAAGGGUGCGCAGGCGGCCAUUUAAGUCAGCGGUUAAAUCGUGGGGCUCAACCCCAUUCUGCCGUUGAUACUGGGUGGCUUGAUUGCGGUCGAGGUUGGCGGAAUUCGUUGUGUAGCGGUGAAAUGCAUAGAUAUGACGAAGAACACCGAUUGCGUAGGCAGCUGACCAGACCGCAAAUGACGCUCAUGCACGAAAGUGCGGGGAUCGAACAGGAUUAGAUACCCUGGUAGUCCGCACAGUAAACGAUGAAUACUUGUUUUCGGCGAUAUAAUGUCGGAGGCAAAGCGAAAGCGAUAAGUAUUCCACCUGGGGAGUUCGCCGGCAACGGUGAAACUCAAAUGAAUUGGCGGGG
rnacentral:rRNA from 1 species